UAUUUUAAGCGGAGUCUCAUCGCUUGUUCUCGCUGCUUUUAUUCCUUUCACAUCUGGUCCUUGUUCUGCUCGGCUGGCUGUUUCUCGCCGGUAAAGUCAGGCCAAAAGUGUCAACAAUAUGAGGGCGCCGAAGAGCUGAUGCUGUCUUCUAAUAUGAAUCUCAGACAGAGCACGAAAGAAGUACUCAAGGAGCUGGGUGUAGCGGCACACACCGAUAAUCGUAGCUGCUUGCGGCUAAGUUUGAGGGAGAUGUGCUGGACACCACAGGACAAAGAACAUGGUGGUUCUAAUCAACGGCCCAGAGUCAGAUGGCAGAAGUUCACAUCCCCUUUCCUGUCAUUCCCAGCUGGGCUGUCCUGGUCUCCACACCCUGCCCCCACUACACCCUCAUCUCCAAGGACUGGACUUUCUCAUCAGUAAAGUCGGAGGGGAACAGUGCCCCGACUCAGAGUCUGAGCAUUACAUGACACAGGCAAAGAAAAGUCUGAGAGUGACACCUGGCAAACAAAAAGCUCAGCAUCCGCUGGGUACCAACAACCAACACUGCAGCAUUGUGUUUGUUCUGGUAACUAGUGUUUUCUUCACCUCUCGUGAUUCCUAACAGUUUCUCAUCACCUCUGGGCUCUUCACCCAAUAAAUCAAUGGAAAAGGAGAACAAGUCCAAACUAGGACAAAGCCAUCAAUGAAAGCGCUAAAUUUACUUUCAGAAAUCUCUAGGAGGAAAAACAAAGCAGGAGGCAAGACACUCAUCUGCAGAAAACCGGCUCUGUAAAGUCAGGGGAGGAUUUGUGUUUCCAAAGGGCUAGCAAGUUGAGACAUUGCUGUAAAACACAGGGGGAAGAAGCCUGCUUAGAGUGUGAACAGUUUCCCUCUGUGCAACAGGAAGAGAGCAAACUCUCUGGGAUGAGGAGCCAAGGAUGGAAAAGACGGGAGGGAGCAGAGGCAUUAGAACCAGUACAACAGCUACUUCCUGUCCCACCCUGUGCACACCUCACCACCAGCAUCUUAAUCCCAGAGAGCAGAGGUAUUACAACCGCAAGCACGUCUGUGCACCCACAAGUACUGGAGUCUUGUGCCCCAUUCCCGUAGGAAGCUCUAGGAAAAGAUAGCUUCGCAUAGACCCUGUGAUAACAAGAGCCACAGCGGAGAGAAAGGGCACCCUUUUCCGGAGAUUAGACACAGUGAAUGGGAGUGAGGGUGUCCACAUCCUGGUGAAAUGAUGUGUGGGCCCCAGUGACACUUAAAUAAGUUUAAAUCCAAACCAGAAGUGAUUGGAUUGUUGACUUGGAAAGGGCUUGCUUGCUCGCUCUUUCUUUCUUUCUUUCUUCCUUUCUUCCUUUCUUUCAUUCAUUCUUUCUUUCUU